CAGUAGCCACGGUAAUACGUAGGGUGCGAGCGUUAAUCGGAAUUACUGGGCGUAAAGCGUGCGCAGGCGGUUCGUUAAGACAGAUUUGAAAUCCCCGGGCUUAACCUGGGAACUGCAUUUGUGACUGGCGAGCUAGAGUAUGGCAGAGGGGGGUAGAAUUCCACGUGUAGCAGUGAAAUGCGUAGAGAUGUGGAGGAAUACCGAUGGCGAAGGCAGCCCCCUGGCCAAUACUGACGCUCAUGCACGAAAGCGUGGGGAGCAAACAGGAUUAGAUACCCCCGUAGUCCCUGUCUCUUAUACA
rnacentral:rRNA from 1 species